GAUGAACGCUAGCGGGAGGCCUAACACAUGCAAGCCGAGCGGUAGAGUUUCUUCGGAAACUUGAGAGCGGCGCACGGGUGCGUAACACGUGUGCAACCUACCUUUAUCUGGGGGAUAGCCUUUCGAAAGGAAGAUUAAUACCCCAUAAUAUAAUGAUUGGCAUCAAUUAUUAUUGAAAACUCCGGUGGCUAGAGAUGGGCACGCGCAAGAUUAGAUAGUUGGUGAGGUAACGGCUCACCAAGUCAAUGAUCUUUAGGGGUCCUGAGAGGGAGAUCCCCCACACUGGUACUGAGACACGGACCAGACUCCUACGGGAGGCAGCAGUGAGGAAUAUUGGACAAUGGGUGAGAGCCUGAUCCAGCCAUCCCGCGUGAAGGAUGACGGUCCUAUGGAUUGUAAACUUCUUUUGUACAGGGAUAAACCUACCCUCGUGAGGGUAGCUGAAGGUACUGUACGAAUAAGCACCGGCUAACUCCGUG
rnacentral:rRNA from 1 species